GAACUAAGACAUUCAAGAAAAAGCUUCUAACUUCAUUCUUAAGCAGUGAAACUCUGUUUUUAGUUCU
rnacentral:tRNA from 1 species